rnacentral:rRNA from 1 species
GAUUCUGGCUCAGGAUGAACGCUGGCGGCGUGCUUAACACAUGCAAGUCGAACGAAGCAGCUUUCUGCUGCAAGAAGCUGACUAGUGGCGGACGGGUGAGUAACGCGUGGGUAACCUGCCUCAUACAGGGGGGAUAACAGUUGGAAACGACUGCUAAGACCGCAUAACCCGCUAGUGUCGCAUGACACGGACGGAAAAUAUUUAUAGGUAUGAGAUGGGCCCGCGUCUGAUUAGCUAGUUGGUAAGGUAACGGCUUACCAAGGCGACGAUCAGUAGCCGACUUGAGAGAGUGAUCGGCCACAUUGGGACUGAGACACGGCCCAAACUCCUACGGGAGGCAGCAGUGGGGAAUAUUGGACAAUGGGGGAAACCCUGAUCCAGCGAACCGCCGCGUGAGUGAAGAAGUAUUUCGGUAUGUAAAGCUCUAUCAGCAGGGAAGAUAAUGACAGUACCUGACUAAGAAGCCCCGGCUAACUACGUGCCAGCCGCUGC